GAUUUGAAUUAUAGAGUAGUAUUCAAUCUUUCAUAAAAUAUUGAUUUCAGUUCUAUGGUCCCCCGGGUAUUUUCAGGAGGGCAGCACCAGUAAGGGCUUCAUUUCUGGAGACAAGCAGCUUGGAAAGUGAGAAUCUGAGAACUGUUUUACAAAAAUAGGAUUUUCUCUAGAUUUUCGUGGUGAACCCUAUACGCCAUUGCAGUGAGGGAUGUCCCAGACCUUGGAUAUUAACCCCUUGUGGCGAAGAGGGCCUCUCAGAGUCAUUGACUGAUAGUGAUUGAUUGCUUUAACCCUGUGUUUGUUGAAGACAGCACCUGUUGAAUAUAAGGGACCGCCCUGUGAACUCCGUUUGAAGUUGCAAUGUUCUAUGGUCCCCCGGGUAUUUUCAGGAGGGCAGCACCAGUAAGGGCUUCAUUUCUGGAGACAAGCAGCUUGGAAAGUGAGAAUCUGAG